AUACGUAGGUGGCAAGCGUUGUCCGGAUUUACUGGGCGUAAAGGGCGCGCAGGCGGCUCGUCAAGUCUGGGGUGAAAUCUCCCGGCUCAACCGGGAGAGGUCUCUGGAUACUGACGGGCUCGAGGGAAGCAGAGGAGAGCGGAAUUCCCGGUGUAGCGGUGAUAUGCGUAGAUAUCGGGAGGAACACCAGUGGCGAAGGCGGCUCUCUGGGCUUUUCCUGACGCUCAGGCGCGAAAGCGUGGGGAGCGAACCGGAUUAGAUACCCCGGUAGUCC
rnacentral:rRNA from 1 species